GGGGGGAGUGGUCGAAGGUGGGGCUAGCGAUUGGGACGAAGUCGUAACAAGGUAGCCGUACCGGAAGGUGCGGCUGGAUCACCUCCUUU
rnacentral:ncRNA from 1 species